AGCUUAUUGUUUUUUAUAAUAAGUAUUUCCUGCCCGGUGAUAGUUUAAACGGCCGCGGUACUCUGACCGUGCAAAGGUAGCAUAAUCAUUUGCCUUUUAAUUAGGGGCUGGUAUGAAGGGAACGACAGGACCUUAGCUGUCUCUCUUUUAUAAUUGGAAUUUGUUUUUUUUGUGAAGAAACAAAAAUUUAAAAAAAAGACAAGAAGACCCUAUUAAGCUUUUAUUUUUUAGAGCUAGAGUGUUGUUAUUUUAACAAAUAUUUAGGUUGGAAAAAAUUUGGUUGGGGCGACCGGAGAAGAAGAAAUCUUCUUUGAAUGUAGAAAAAUUAUGAGUUAAAUCUUGGGCCAAAGUGUUUUGAGAAAAAGAAGAAGUUACUAUAGGGAUAACAGCGUAAUUUUUUCGGAGAGUUCUUAUUGAUGAAAAAGAUUGCGACCUCGAUGUUGACUUGUUAUUUCCUAGUUGAUGCAGAAGUCUAAAAGGUUGGUCUGUUCGACCAUUAAAAUAGC
rnacentral:rRNA from 1 species